rnacentral:tRNA from 1 species
UCUGUAGCUCAGUUGGUAGAGCAACUGAUUCGUAAUCAGUAGGUCACGUGUUCAAGUCACGCCAG